GUGAUUAGGGUUUUUGGAAUAUAAGAACCCUUCUUCUCUCUGCUCUAUGCCUCGUUAAGUUAUCUCACACUCUCUGCGACCCUUUUCGGCGGCUUCAUCGUCUUAUAUUGAAGGAGAGCUUGUUCUUUUUAGCUAUCAUCAAAGAUGUCAGGUGAAGAAGCCCCAGUUG